AUGGGGGGAACCCUGAUCCAGCCAUGCCGCGUGUGUGAAGAAGGCCUUUUGGUUGUAAAGCACUUUAAGCGAGGAGGAGGAGCUUCUUGAGUUAAUACCCAAGAUAUCAUUGGACGUUACUCGCAGAAUAAGCACCGGCUAACUCUGUGCCAGCAGCCGCGGUAAUACAGAGGGUGCAAGCGUUAAUCGGAUUUACUGGGCGUAAAGCGCGCGUAGGUGGCCAAUUAAGUCAAAUGUGAAAUCCCCGAGCUUAACUUGGGAAUUGCAUUCGAUACUGGUUGGCUAGAGUAUGGGAGAGGAUGGUAGAAUUCCAGGUGUAGCGGUGAAAUGCGUAGAGAUCUGGAGGAAUACCGAUGGCGAAGGCAGCCAUCUGGCCUAAUACUGACACUGAGGUGCGAAAGCAUGGGGAGCAAACAGGAUUAGAUACCCUGGUAGUCCAUGCCGUAAACGAUGUCUACUAGCCGUUGGGGCCUUUGAGGCUUUAGUGGCGCAGCUAACGCGAUAAGUAGACCGCCUGGGGAGUACGGUCGCAAGACUANAACUCAAAUGA
rnacentral:rRNA from 1 species